rnacentral:lncRNA from 1 species
AUAACAAUAACAAAACCAGCGAAAUAAAGCGACAAACAAGCAGCCAAACAUGCAUUUAAUCUAAUUAAUUAAGAAAAAAGAAAAGCUGGAAAAAAGAAAAAAAGAAAUACCUCAAUGAAGGUUGUAUUCCCUUGGCUGAAGUUUUUGAUGCAAUUUCAAGUUUCAAUCCAACCGGUUGCUGCCCCUUUUUUUUGAUGUUGUGAGUGAGUGUGUUGGGAGAAAAGAAAAUGGGCGAGAGUGAGUGAGAUUGAGGGGGUAAGUUAGAGUCUUUUUUUUU